GACGAGGGGGAGAGAGAGAGAGAGAGAGAGAGAGAAGAAAGAUCUUAAGCAGACUUCCUGUUCAGUGCAGAGCCCGACAUGGGACUUUAAUCCCACGACCCUGAGAUUAGGACCUGAGCCAAAAUCAAGAGUUAAAUGCUUAACCAAAUGAGCCACCCUGGCGCCCCAAUGUAGUUUAAUAAUUUAGUGAUGGUUAAAGCUGCUGUCAUUACACUGCCAGCCGAGUCUCUCCCACUUCAUGUGCGAGCCUCUCCCUGAAAUGAAGAUCAGUCUAAAUUCUUCAGAAAACCACCAGCUCCUCACAUGGUACCCACAGAAGAUGGACUCAUGGGUGGUCACAGAAGCACGGCACUGGAAGAUACCCCAGAGGGCCUUUCAUUCCACAGCUCUUCUGUCAAGGCCAAACCUAUCUGGAGUAGAGAAGCGGAAAACAGCAUCUGCUCUGCUCCAGAAAUGUGACCUUCUGCCCUGGGACCAGAAGGAAGAAUUGGUCAUGCCGAAGCAAACAUCCACAGCACCCUGCCACAUGGCCUGAUCCCUAGACUGGAACACAAAGCCUCAUGUUAGCCUCAGCCUUCCCGUGAGUCAACACCUAGCCUGGCAUAGUUAGCACUGCCCGACAUUGAAGCAAGAUCCUCAGAAGACUACCUGCUGUGAGCUGAGGUCCAGGACAGUGACAUGACCCAGCAAGAGACCGCUGGGCAGCUGAGUAGGCACCUUGCAACUAGCUACCCAGGUACAGAAGUGCCUGGAAGCAUCAGAUAGAGACUCCACAGCAUAGGUAUUGGGAAGCAGCCAAUCCAUCUGUGUCUCAUGGACAUCUGAGCCAACCUAGGACAGCCAUUAGCAUGAACCCUACUUUCAUGAACAUUAUUCUUGCCAACUGGCUCCACCAAUGUUGACCCUUCCUAAGAAGGAAAAUUAUCACACAUGCCCCUGUAAGGACACAAGGGGCAGAUACAAAGUUCCUGAUGUUAGACAGCCUCUACAACCAGAGUCAAGAGUCCUUAAGUCUCCUAUCACAUUGUACCAGACAUAUGCUCUCGCACAUAAGGCAACA
rnacentral:lncRNA from 12 species